rnacentral:rRNA from 1 species
GACGAACGCUGGCGGCGUGCCUAAUACAUGCAAGUAGAACGCACAGUUUAUACCGUAGCUUGCUACACCAUAGACUGUGAGUUGCGAACGGGUGAGUAACGCGUAGGUAACCUGCCUGGUAGCGGGGGGUAACUAUUGGACACGAUAGCUAAUACCGCAUAAUAUUGAUUAUUGCAUGAUAAUUAAUUGAAAGGUUCAAUUGCACCACUACCAGAUGGACCUGCGUUGUAUUAGCUAGUAGGUGAGGUAACGGCUCACCUAGGCGACGAUACAUAGCCGACCUGAGAGGGUGAUCGGCCACACUGGGACUGAGGCACGGCCCAGACUCCUACGGGAGGCAGCAGUAGGGGAUCUUCGGCAAUGGACGGAAGGCUGACCGAGGAACGCCGCGGGGGUGGAGGAGGUUUUCGGGUCGUAAAGCUCCGUUGUAAGAGAAGAACGGGAGUGGGAGUGGAAAGUGCACACUGUGACGGUAUCUAACCAGAAAGGGACGGCUAACUACGUG